UACGAAGGGGCUAGCGUUGCUCGGAAUCACUGGGCGUAAAGCGCACGUAGGCGGAUUGUUAAGUCAGGGGUGAAAUCCUGGAGCUCAACUCCAGAACUGCCUUUGAUACUGGCGAUCUUGAGUCCGGGAGAGGUGAGUGGAACUGCGAGUGUAGAGGUGAAAUUCGUAGAUAUUCGCAAGAACACCAGUGGCGAAGGCGGCUCACUGGCCCGGUACUGACGCUGAGGUGCGAAAGCGUGGGAGCAAACAGG
rnacentral:rRNA from 1 species